rnacentral:rRNA from 1 species
UACAGGGGGUGCAAACGUUGCUCGGAAUCAUUGGGCGUAAAGCGCACGUAGGCGGAUCGUUAAGUCGGGGGUGAAAUCCUGGAGCUCAACUCCAGAACUGCCUUCGAUACUGGCGAUCUUGAGUCCGGAAGAGGUGAGUGGAACUCCUAGUGUAGAGGUGGAAUUCGUAGAUAUUAGGAAGAACACCAGUGGCGAAGGCGGCUCACUGGUCCGGUACUGACGCUGAGGUGCGAAAGCGUGGGGAGCAAACAGG